rnacentral:rRNA from 1 species
GACGAACGCUGGCGGCGUGCUUAACACAUGCAAGUCGAGCGGUAAGGCCCUUUCGGGGGUACACGAGCGGCGAACGGGUGAGUAACACGUGGGUGACCUGCCCUCAGCUCUGGGAUAAGCCUGGGAAACCGGGUCUAAUACUGGAUAUGACUCCAUGACGCAUGUUGUGGGGUGGAAAGCCUUGUGCGGCUGAGGAUGGGCCCGCGGCCUAUCAGCUUGUUGGUGGGGUGANGGCCUACCAAGGCGACGACGGGUAGCCGGCCUGAGAGGGCGACCGGCCACACUGGGACUGAGACACGGCCCAGACCUCCGUACGGGAGGCAGCAGGUGGGGAAUCUUGCGCAAGUGGGACGAAAGCCUGACGCAGCGACGCCGCGUGAGGGAU